GCAGUAGCCGCGGUAAUACAGAGGGUGCGAGCGUUAAUCGGAUUUACUGGGCGUAAAGCGUGCGUAGGCGGCUUCUUAAGUCGGAUGUGAAAUCCCUGAGCUUAACUUAGGAAUUGCAUUCGAUACUGGGAAGCUAGAGUAUGGGAGAGGAUGGUAGAAUUCCAGGUGUAGCGGUGAAAUGCGUAGAGAUCUGGAGGAAUACCGAUGGCGAAGGCAGCCAUCUGGCCUAAUACUGACGCUGAGGUACGAAAGCAUGGGGAGCAAACAGGAUUAGAUACCCCGGUAGUCCCUGUCUCUUAUAA
rnacentral:rRNA from 1 species